GAUGAACGCUGGCGGCGUGCUUAACACAUGCAAGUCGAACGGGAAACCUAUUAUUGAAACUUCGGUCGAUUUAAUUUGUUUCUAGUGGCGGACGGGUGAGUAACGCGUGGGUAACCUGCCCUAUACAGGGGGAUAACAACCAGAAAUGGUUGCUAAUACCGCAUAAGCGCGCGGGACCGCAUGGUCCAGUGUGAAAAACUCCGGUGGUAUAGGAUGGACCCGCGUUGGAUUAGCUAGUUGGUGGGGUAACGGCCCACCAAGGCAACGAUCCAUAGCCGGCCUGAGAGGGUGAACGGCCACAAUGGGACUGAGACACGGCCCAGACUCCUACGGGAGGCAGCAGUGGGGAAUAUUGCACAAUGGGGGAAACCCUGAUGCAGCGACGCCGCGUGAAGGAGGAAGUAUCUCGGUAUGUAAACUUCUAUCAGCAGGGAAGAUAGUGACGGUACCUGACUAAGAAGCCCCGGCUAACUACGUGCCAGCCGCCGCGGUAAAAC
rnacentral:rRNA from 1 species